rfam:Clostridiales sp. SM4/1 draft genome.
GAGUCUGUAGCUCAGCUGGAUAGAGCAACGGCCUUCUAAGCCGUGGGUCGGGGGUUCGAAUCCCUUCAGGCUCG